UCGAUCCCGCGCUCCUGUCCCAACUUUUCUCCCGGGGCGAGAUCCCUCCGACCAUGGGCGUCCUCCCAAGGCCUUUGUCGCUGCCCCUGUCCCAGACUUUUGUAGGGGUCAGGCGGCCGCUACGGCCACCUUUCCAGCGCUAGGACCCCGGCUAGCCACGAAGCCGGGGACCUUCGGAGCCGGAAGUAGUCCCGCCUGGAACUGGACGACCCCGGAAGCUGCAGUGCCAGCGGCGGCGCGGCAGGGGGCGCGGUUACCCGUGGUUUUUCGCGUUGGACGACGGGCUCUGAGGGCCAAGUUCUUGUCACGAAUUUAGUUUGUUUCAGAGCGGCAGGACUCGUAGCUAGAGAACGAGGACCCACGACGCGUACGCGUUACAGUCCUGUUUCCCUAGAAACGGAGCUGCCGGCGCGGAGGUGGCUUUGAGAUUCUGCGAAAGACCUGACUGCUCUUCAACAAUUAUUGUGUUGCACCCUCCCAGGCGCCCAGUCCAAACCCCGUCAGAAUAACCACCCGGGACAGCGGUGGUCGAAGUAACUACGCCUAACUUUUCGCUUUCCAUCGUGUCCCCUCCAUAAAAACACUGCUGGGCCCCCGGAAUCCAAAGGCGAAGGAGGCACACUCCCUGCCUUAGACUUGUUGAGAGUUUUAUAGGGGCAGUGCAUAACGUACAUGAUGGUGUAUGACGAUUCGGAUGGUAGUACGAGUCAUAAACUCAAAUUCCAACAGCAUCCAGCCAGGACUUUUAAAAUUCCUUGCAACGCAAGUCUACUGGUGACAAAUUCCCUCAAAUUUUGUUUGCCUGAGAAAGUCUUUCGCCCUCACUGUUGAAGGAUAAUUUCACUGGAUACAGAAUUCUAGAUGGAGUCUUGCUCUGUC
rnacentral:lncRNA from 1 species